CACGUAGGGUGCGAGCGUUGUCCGGAAUUAUUGGGCGUAAAGAGCUCGUAGGCGGUGUGUCGCGUCGGCCGUGAAAACCUGCAGCUUAACUGUGGGCUUGCGGUCGAUACGGGCAUCACUGGAGUUCGGCAGGGGAGACUGGAAUUCCUGGUGUAGCGGUGAAAUGCGCAGAUAUCAGGAGGAACACCGGUGGCGAAGGCGGGUCUCUGGGCCGAUACUGACGCUGAGUGAGCGAAAGCCAGGGGAGCAAACGGG
rnacentral:rRNA from 1 species